rnacentral:rRNA from 1 species
CCUACGGGUGGCAGCAGUCGAGAAUCAUUCACAAUGGGGGAAACCCUGAUGCUGCGACGCCGCGUGGGGGAAUGAAGGUCUUCGGAUUGUAAACCUCUGUUAUGUGGGAGCAAAUUCAAAAGCUAGUACCAGAAGAGGAAGAGACGGGUAACAAUGCUCCAGCAGCCGCGGUAAUACAGACGUCUCAAGUGUUGUUCGGAAUCACUGGGCGUAAAGGGUGCGGAGGCUGUUUCGGAAGGUGUGUGGGAAAGGCGCGGGGUCAACCCGCGGAGGGCAGAUGAAACUGCGGGACUAGAGUGGGCGAGAAGGACGCGGAAUGCGCGGUGUAGCAGUGAAAUGCAUAGAUAUCGCGAAGAACACUGAUUGCGAAGGCAGGUUCCUGGACCCUAACUGACGCUGAGGCACGAAGGCCAGGGGAGCGAAAGGGAUUAGAUACCCGUGUAGUC